GCUCAGUGUGUUUUAGUCGAGGGCACUAGUUGUUUAGUCAGGACGAGGUGGUUUAUAAAAGAACAAGUGGUGUUUUAUUUUUUUUUUUUGUCUCAUUUUUUGUGAGUGGUUUAUCGUUCCGUGGAGUGGAUAUUAAGGUUUAUGUCAUCGUUUUAUGAUGCAUGGAAAGUACUUAUUGGCAUGUGACUGAUUGUCUCAAGUUGGUAGUGUCGUCGAAGCCUGUAGUGGCGAGUGUGUCAAUCGAACCUUAGCCGUCCAUCACUCCCUGUACAACACCCGUACAACAACAACAACAACAACAACCGCAAGAUGCUGAGCGCUGCGAUGGGCGGGUCGGCCCGCCUCAGCCAACCCGACGUGCGCAGUCCCAUGUUCUCCAACCCCGAACAGCGGGAAGACUCCAGCAACGUUCGGCUGAGCCAUCCGGACAUGCGAAAGCUGCUGUCCAACCCCUCGGAGAAAGAAUCCUACAAACACCCCGUGCCUCCAUCCAAGUCUCAGCUUCUGAG